GAUAAGAUGUAAUUCAUGCAAUAUAUGGACAGGAAUUAACAGAAUAGCCAGACAGAAUUGCAUUAAACACAGAAAAAAAAUCUGGUAAGAGCACAAACAAAAACAAUCUCCCAUUGUCAGGAAUAUGUAUUCAACCCUUGGAUGGUGGUGUUGCUCUUUAUCAGAAUAAAAUAGAUGUCCUGCAACCUUAAAUCCUGCAUGCAAGUAAAUAACCGGAAGAGCAAGGAAUCAAAUUCAUAACGCUCUCACAAGAAUCCAAAUUUGCCCACCCACUGUUGACAAAUGCAGAGUAGACAAGGUACAUGUUUCAAACAUGGGCCUAACAAGAGCAGCAGCCACAAGCAGGGGUACAACUUGAUUCUAGUUAGAUUUUUUACAUAAACCUAAACUAGAGAGGUCUACCAUAUAGGUUGGUUUUCCUUUCUACUAACUUAGUGUGUCUUUUGGAUUUCUAAAACCUAAAAAUAAGGUUAUUUCAUGUAAAGGACAUAGCAUGAUGAAUGGUAAUAAGAAUCUAGAAGGCUUUAGCAACGCUCUAAGGUUUUUACAUCUCUUUCUCUCUAUUUUCUCGUUCUUUCUUCACUUCUUUUUUCCUUAUUUUUUUUAUAUGCAUCUUUCCUUUUUACACCCUUCCUUUUUUAGGCUCCCAUAACCUUGGUUUCUCAUUUCCUUCCUUAAAUAUUACAAAAAGUAUAUCACUGGACCACCCUUAUUUGAUUGUUGAAAACUACCUUAGGGUUUUCCCAACAUAGUGAAAUGUGUACCAUCCCACCCCACAAACUGGUGCCACUCAACCCAACACUGAUGUUCUAAAUCUUCAGUCAAAUGAAUUCAAGUUUCUAUUUUGACUUGAAUAGGAGGGUUUGAGUUAGAGUUAGAUAGCAACAUGGGAAAUAUUUACAUAAAAUGAGAAGGCAGCAAAUUAAUCUAUUUGAAGCAAAGAUUAACAAAUGACUGGAAUGAACAAAAUGGAAUACUUCGUUCUAACCUACUCAACAAGAUGCAACAUGAGCAUCAAAGUUUAAUAAGGACACAAGGUGUUUUACAUGGCAUCCUCUGUAAAACCAAAAUGUGAGAUAACCAUACACUCAUGCAUGUUGAUAUUGGUCAUCGGGUAAUCAAUAUGGUAAAGGGAAGAAUGCCUAAAAAAAAUGAAGAGAAGGAUUGGAAGAAUCUGUCGACAACUUAAAGGAGAAAAAACUUAGGCAUGUAGAGACUUGUCACUAGAUGCCCAAUAUGGUAAAAAGAAGAUGAGAAGAAGCUGUUGGCAUGCUAAAGAAAAGGAAUAAACAACAUAGGAGAGUACUUGUUGCAUAUUUUUCAAGACUGUUAACGCCUAAAUUAUCCUUGAUCCACUUGACUCUAAUCUCAAGACUGGUAACACCAAAUUGAUCCUUGCACCAAAUGACACAGGAAGUUACAGCCCACUAAGGGGAGAACAGAGUGCAUCUCACAACCUCCAAUACAAACAAGAACAAUCAGAGAGAGAGAGAGAGAGAGAGAGAGAGUACAUGCUCUGUUUUCCUAUCAAAAUCAAAUUUAAAACCAUAAAUGGCAGAUAGUACAAAGUCAAGACCAAAAUUUAGCUCACAAGCAUAAAUAGAACACGACCACCAGCUCAAUAGAAAGAGAUAUUCUAGUACUUAAAUUUUGAUUUGUCACUUAUGUGAUUGAUCUCAGAAAUGUGACCAAAAUCACAUGCAAUAGGCAAUAAAUAAAUCACAAGAAAGAGACACAGGAGGGGGUGGGGAGAACUAUGAGCAUGUCUGAUAUGCCACUAUCUGGACUGGAGUCAAAAUCAAAUUUAAAACCACAAAUGGCAGGUAGUACUAGCUCACAACCAAAUUUUUUUGCUCAUGAUCCCAAAUGAAACAAGAGGACAACCAAAAUAGAAAGAUAUGUUUUAACAGUUGUUUUAAUUGUUGUUAACGGGUGAUUGAUCUCAGAAAUGAGACUAAAAUAUUAUAUGACAGGCAACAUAUAGAUCACAACAAAAAAAUUUGUACACAAUCUCAAAAGGACCAGCUGGCACACCGUUUUUCAGACUGCUUGUAUCGAUCACCAAUAUUCUUUUUAAGUUAUUCAAUUCUUUAACAAGAAAUAUGCUUCACAUGGACUAAAUAAAUUGAAAUGCACCUUUUUUUUAGUAAGUAAAAAUGAAGCAAGUUGAGAUAAAUUUGUUGUGAAUAUGCUGAUCUUAUCCAUAUUAUUGCAUCAAAAAAAUCUGCUCAUGGAUUUACAAUAUCAAUCUCUAAAAUACCCAAGUCACCUUUUUAUUAAGGGAAAAAAGGCAAACAGAAAUUUUAAAAAUUGAAGCCUGCACAAACCAGCCCAUCACCCCAACCAAUAAAUCUGACCACUCUACUUACUCUCACGAGAGGUAAUUAGAUAAUAACUUCAGGUAAGAAAGGAUAUGUAAGGUGAGGAGCAGAGAGCAUGCUGGGCGUCUCUAGUUCUUGCUUAAUAAAGAUAAAAAAGAAUAAAACACUAGUUAAAGGCCGUAUCCCAGUUAUCAGGAAAAGCCACCUCAUGAAUGAAGAAAUGUGCAUGCGAGCUUAUGCACUAGGUGCAAAGAAUUUAUUGUUUCAAAUAUGUGUGUGUGUAUAUAUAUAUAUAGGCAAUAAGAGGGAAUGCCUUGAUAAAGCCUUGGAACAAAUACAAAAAAGUACACCCAAUGUAUACAAUAAGCGCCAAAAGGCAAAAAAAAAAAGAAAAAAAAAAAGGGAAAUUAUAUUGAGCAUAGCCACUCAACAAAUCCUAUCAUGGACAAUGAUUGAUUCUCUACAUACAGAUUAAUCCGUUCUAAAUAUAUAUGAAAAGACCUUCUUUUCUCUUGUAAUCUAAGUCCUAAUCCUAUCCUAUAACUAAGUAGCAAGACUUAAAGUUUAAGUAGAUUAAAUAGUGUUUAGUAAAAUAAUUUAAUACCUCAAUUUAAAGUUUAAAAUAACUUUUUAAGUAUUAAGUAAAAAUAGUUAAUUUAUUCUAAAUCUCCAAUCUUUUUUGUCCCAUUUGCCUACAUCUAGUGAGAAUAUAUUUUACA
rnacentral:lncRNA from 1 species